CUGGGCAAACACCUCCACGGGGUCAGCCUUGGUCUGGGUGUGCAGCGCCUGGUCCACCUUGGCCAGGACGAUCUGACGCAGGUUGAACAGUCCUGUGGGGGGAGGAGGAGGAGGCGAGCUGAGGCCCGAGGGCUCCCACUUCUCCCCACACCCGAUUUUAAAACCAUUUCCCCAGACCAGACCAUGCAGAUGUGGUUCUUCCUCCCAACCCUCUGUCCCCACAAAGCCUUUCCCCUAACCAUCAUGACCAGGACAUCACGGGUCCCCUUCCAGUCCCCACAAGCAGGGGACACCAAGGCCUCUGACCUCGCUGGGAACAUCACACAGCCCUUGCUCCCCAAAACUUUUUGUCACCGGUUCCCACCUGUGUUUGCCUGCCGGGAUUUAAUGAGUUUCUCCAGCAGCUCGUCGGGGAUGGGGCUUCCAGUUUUGUAGUGCCUGGACAUGCGCAGCAGCGGCUCCUUCUCCCACACCCAGUUCUCCAGCAUCUGUGACGGUGCCUCGACGAAGUCCCGCUCCACGUGCGUCCCGCUGAACAUGGCAAACUCCGCCUGGAAGAUGUGUCAGACCAUCAGCUCAGAGCAGGGCAUCGUUUCAUCCCCCAAAAAGGGAGCAAAACGGGGAAAAAUAACAAAAAGGCCCUGCUGGGCCUCACCUGAGAGCACAGCUGGUGCAUGACGUGCCCGAAUUCGUGGAAAUAGGUCUCCACCUCAUCGUGCUGCAGCAGGGAAGGCGCGUCCGGCGUGGGCUUGGUGAAGUUGGCCACCAUGGCAGCCACCGAGAUCUGCCGGCUGGAGUCUGGCAGGAGGCAGCCCGGCUGCAGGCCGAAGCAGGCUGCGUGCCCGUACUUCCCUUCCCUGCCACGGGGAGAAAGAGGAGGCUGGCUCCUGUCCCGCUAUCCCAGCCCUCCUCCAUCCCCUUGGCCAUCCCCAGGCCUCACCGUGGGUACAGAUCCAGGUAGAAUUUGCCGAUGGUCUCCCCGGAGGAGGCGUCCUUCACCGUGUACAGCUGCACGUCCUCGUGCCACACCUCAGCCUUCUCUUCCAGGUGGAAGGUCCAGGAUCACGGCCCGCUCCUUCUCCCCCAGGGGUUUCAGCUUCUGGGCCAGCUCAUCUGCAAGGGCACAGAGGGAGGGUUGGGGGCCAGGGCUGAGAGCAGCCCCCCCAGCCCAAGGGAGCCCGCUCCUCCCCUCGGCAGCCGGGCGCCGUACCCAGGAAGGUGGCCACCGUCCUGCUGCUUUUUGCCAUGUUCAUCUCCAGCACGAAGUCGGCGUGGGUGCUGAAGCCCAGCAGGCUGGCUUUCUGAGCCCGCAGGUCCACCAGCUCCUUGAGG
rnacentral:lncRNA from 1 species